UGGAACUUGUAAGUAUAAACUAAUAUCGUCAAAUGACAAAUGACAUUAAUUGUCUUUCGUAAUUCACGUCAACACAUAUUUAUCUUAUCAAAGUAAAACCAUAAUACUACUUUACAUGUUCUUUCCUACUACCUAGUUAUUAAUUAUUUUUAUUGAAGAACUUUAUUUUAAUUACAUUACAAUGGAUAAAGUUAAAAAGAGGGCUCCUAAUUAUACCGAAAAUGAGAAACAAAACUUGUUAGAGCUUGUGGCGAAGUACAAAGACAUAGUUGAAUGUAAGAGGACAGGAUCUUUUUACAUCAAUAAAAAACAAAUUGCCUGGGCUAAGAUUGCCGAUGAAUACAAUAGUUUUUGUACUACCGGUCCAAGAAAUAUGAGAACGCUGAAGCAUUUUUAUAAUAAUAUUAAGCAUCAUGCCAGAAAAGUUUCAGCCAUGGAGAAUAAACAAAGAUAUCUUUCAGAAGAGGCACAUACAAUAGAAGGACCCGAUAACUUAGAAACAAUGCACAAUGAAAAUGUGGAAAUAUUAAUAGAUAUAACAAACCAACCAACCACAUAAUUGGAAAUAGUGUGGGUAUUACUUGCAUACAUACAUAAAUACCAUUAUAUUCUGGUUUUUCAUGGGAAUUUAAACAUAAUGCAACACAAUUAGUUUUAAGAGCUGAGUUACAAAUACCACUUCCUUUCUGAAUCCUACUUGCACAUCACAUAUUAUUUAUCAUGCACCAUUUAUUUUGGUAUUAUUUUUAAAUAGAUAAAACAUAAGAAUAUAUUUAAAAAAAAAUCAA